rnacentral:rRNA from 1 species
CAGCCGCCGCGGUAAUACGUAGGGGGCAAGCGUUGUCCGGAUUUAUUGGGCGUAAAGAGCGUGUAGGCGGCUAGGUAGGUCCGUUGUGAAAACUCGAGGCUCAACCUCGAGACGCCGGUGGAAACCAUCUAGCUAGAGUCCGGAAGAGGAGAGUGGAAUUCCUGGUGUAGCGGUGAAAUGCGCAGAUAUCAGGAAGAACACCCGUGGCGAAGGCGGCUCUCUGGUACGUGACUGACGCUGAGACGCGAAAGCGUGGGGAGCGAACAGGAUUAGAUACCCUGGUAGUCCACGCCGUAAACGGUGGGCACUAGGUGUGGGGAACAUUCCACGUUCUCCGUGCCGAAGCUAACGCAUUAAGUGCCCCGCCUGGGGAGUACGGCCGCAAGGCUAAAACUCAAAGGAAUUGACGG